rnacentral:misc_RNA from 1 species
CCGGUUUCAAAACACAGCUUCCAUACACUUUCUUUUAAAGCAAGCAAGCAUUCACCCAAAAUCAAACAAAAUUACAAAAUAAACCUUAAAAAAAAAAAAACCAUCAAUCCAAAUUCCCAAAUGGUCUUCAGUGUGCAAAGCAAGUUGAUACCAAAGCGAUUAGUGACGUUAGUUGCCAAGGACUGAGNNNNNNCAAACCACAGUCCAUAUCAAGGCUUUCUUCUUGCAUGCCUUGCUUUAAUGGUGAAUCAGAG